CACGGUGGAGCUGCCUCAGGGCUGUCGGU
rnacentral:piRNA from 1 species